rnacentral:rRNA from 1 species
UACAGAGGUCCCAAGCGUUAUCCGGAUUCAUUGGGUUUAAAGGGAGCGUAGGCGGACUUAUAAGUCAGUGGUGAAAGCCGAUAGCUUAACUAUCGAACUGCCAUUGAUACUGUAAGUCUAGAGUACAGAUGAUGUUGGCGGAAUAUGACAUGUAGCGGUGAAAUGCAUAGAUAUGUCAUAGAACACCGAUUGCGAAGGCAGCUGACAAAACUGUAACUGACGCUGAGGCUCGAAAGUGCGGGGAUCAAACAGG